rnacentral:rRNA from 1 species
UCAGGAUGAACGCUAGCUACAGGCUUAACACAUGCAAGUCGAGGGGCAGCAUAACGAAAGCUUGCUUUUGUUGAUGGCGACCGGCGCACGGGUGAGUAACGCGUAUCCAACCUUCCCCAUAGUAGAGAAUAGCCCGGCGAAAGUCGGAUUAAUGCUCUAUGUUGUAUCAUGAGGACAUCUGAAUAAUACCAAAGGUUCACCGCUAUGGGAUGGGGAUGCGUCUGAUUAGGUUGUUGGCGGGGUAACGGCCCACCAAGCCCACGAUCAGUAGGGGUUCUGAGAGGAAGGUCCCCCACAUUGGAACUGAGACACGGUCCAAACUCCUACGGGAGGCAGCAGUGAGGAAUAUUGGUCAAUGGACGGAAGUCUGAACCAGCCAAGUAGCGUGCAGGAUGACGGCCCUAUGGGUUGUAAACUGCUUUUAUACAGGGAUAAAGUGAGGGACGUGUCCCUUUUUGUAGGUACUGUAUGAAUAAGGACCGGCUAAUUCCGUGCCAGCAGCCGCGGUAAUACGGAAGGUCCGGGCGUUAUCCGGAUUUAUUGGGUUUAAAGGGAGCGCAGGCUGAUGAUUAAGCGUGACGUGAAAUGUAGCCGCUCAACGGCUGAACUGCGUCGCGAACUGGUUAUCUUGAGUGAGUUCGAUGUUGGCGGAAUUCGUGGUGUAGCGGUGAAAUGCUUAGAUAUCACGAAGAACUCCGAUUGCGAAGGCAGCCAACAAGGCC